AGUUACCAAUAACUUGCUUUUGUCGCAAUUUCACAAGACAGUGAGUCAGUUCUGAUACCAGUCAGUUUUUCAGACAACGGCUACUCUACAUCAAACGAAGCAGUGAACAUCUCCGCUUAAUUAGGCUCUUCUUUGCUGAGUUUAGGGAUGUUGACCUUCUGCUUGCUCUCUACAACUGCUUUUGACAGCAGCUCAAACACAUUGUUGAGACAAAAUCUCCACCUCAAUGUCUGUGUUGUAAAAUUGACGGCCCACUUGAGACAGUUGCCCUACAGAUAUGCAUGGCAGAAAUUCAGUCUAAUAGCACAAACAAUGUAGUACAAAAAAAAAAUCUUAUAUAUUUUGCUAGUCAGUCACUAAAUGUGAACGGAAAAAUAAAAAUGUAUUUAUUUCACUGUGCUCAGAAGCAUGUUUGGGAAUUAAGUGUGACAAGCUCUAACAUGUUCCAGAUGUAAAAAGGAAGUGCUGAGGCUAUUUGAAUUUUUAAGGUCAAUAAUUGGUUGAUACACUGGCAGAAUGGUUAUCAAUCUCCACUUUACUCAUUUUCACAUGAUUUCACAAACAUAUUUAAUAUACAGAGAUAAUGCAUUGUCAAACCCAGUCUGUGCUUGGGUGUAUGAUUACCUUUGACAAACUGAGUAAAACCCUUUCUGGUAGAGCGAUAAUGUAGUGUCAGGCUCGUCUCACACUCUUCUUCCACACAAAAGCU